UACGUAGGGCGCAAGCGUUGUCCGGAAUUAUUGGGCGUAAAGAGCUCGUAGGCGGCUUGUCACGUCGGGUGUGAAAGCCCGGGGCUUAACCCCGGGUCUGCAUUCGAUACGGGCAGGCUAGAGUGUGGUAGGGGAGAUCGGAAUUCCUGGUGUAGCGGUGAAAUGCGCAGAUAUCAGGAGGAACACCGGUGGCGAAGGCGGUUCUCUGGGCCGCAACUGACGCUGAGGAGCGAAAGCAUGGGGAGCGAACAGG
rnacentral:rRNA from 1 species